UCGAAACCUGCAUAGCAGAACAACAAGUGAACAUGUUAUUAUCAUGCAAGGGGGAGGGGUGAUGGCUUGCCUAGUCCCUUUCUCUAAUGUCAUGUGACUUUCCGUUGUGAUUGUUGCAAGGCACAAGAACCAACCCCCGGCGCGUUAUGCGUCAAGGAAUAUAAUAAAGAGUUUGCCUAUCCUGUACCGGGUUUCCGGCAUAUGGGUGUGGCACCAAUGUAAGUCAUGAAAUGA
rnacentral:misc_RNA from 1 species